UUGUCAGUGAGGUUGAUCCUUACCUGUUCCUCCUUACGGAGAAACAGAACAUGAUGAAUGGAGGAUGCUGAUUGUGUGAUUAUGAAAAGCUCCUGCACACCUUGAGCUGACAACUCUAAGUGUGUCAUUCUGAU